AUUCCGGUUGAUCCUGCCGGAGGCCAUUGCUAUCGGAGUCCGAUUUAGCCAUGCUAGUCGUGCGAGUUCAGACUCGCGGCACCGAGCUCAGUAACACGUGGCCAAACUACCCUACAGAGAUGGAUACCCUCGGGAAACUGAGGUUAACCCGUCAUACCGAUCUCAGGCUUGAAUCGCAGAGAUCACAAAACGCCCCGGCGCUGUAGGAUGUGGCUGCGGUUGAUUAGGUAGACGGUGGGGUAACGGCCCACCGUGCCCAUAAUCAGUACAGGUUGUGAGAGCAAGAACCUGGAGACGGAAUCUGAGACAAGAUUCCGGGCCCUACGGGGCGCAGCAGGCGCGAAACCUUUACACUGCACGCACGUGCGAUAAGGGGACUCCGAGUGCGAGGGCAUAUCGUCCUCGCUUUCGUGUACCGUAGGGUGGUACACCAACAAGGGCUGGGCAAGACCGGUGCCAGCCGCCGCGGUAAUACCGGCAGCCCGAGUGAUGGCCGAUCUUAUUGGGCCUAAAGCGUCCGUAGCU
rnacentral:rRNA from 1 species